rnacentral:tRNA from 1 species
AUUUUUGAUAUGAUAUUCAAAAAUGUUUAGAAUUCCUAAUGUGGGUAACACAAAAAUAAAAUCUUAGAUAUUAAAAAUAGCACGCACGGUGUCGUCUCCUGUCAAAGAUUUUCAUUGUAAUAUGAAACUUUGAAUAGUUACGGGUUUCUGUAAAGAGCUCACUAUAGACGGCGCCACGGUUCGCUUAAACCGAAAUUAAAAAAGUAUCAUAUCGAAAAUUUCGCUCGAGCGGGUGCAUCGUUCCAUAGCUUAAUUGGCUAGAGCGCCGACACGGUACGUCGGAGACGCGGGUUCGAACCCCGCUGGAGCGGUCAAUUUUUGAUAUGAUAUUCAAAAAUGUUUAGAAUUCCUAAUGUGGGUAACACAAAAAUAAAAUCUUAGAUAUUAAAAAAAAAUUGGUUUG